CUUUGCGUGUGGGUUUGGGAUGAGCAGCUCCUCCCGGCGGGGGGGAGCACGGGGUACUGGAGCCCUGCCCGGAAUGGGGGGGCAACACUGGGAAUUGCCCCACAGAGCCAGGGGACCCAAUGGAGCAUAUUCCCAGCCCCACGCAGCCCUGCUUCCCGCCCCUCCCCGGGUUUUGGGGGGCUGUCCCCUCCAACCCCCGUGUCCCCCUGUGUCCCUCCGUGGGCUGGGCGGUGCCCCGGGGGGAAUGCCGCAGCCGCUGACGUCACGAUGCUCAGCCAAUGGGCGCGGGCUCUGGCGGGGUGGGGCGGGGGCGGCCCCGGUGGGGACCGGGGCUGCUCCGGGGGGUCCCGGUGCCCCCCGCUCUCCUCAUGCAGGGCAUGGGGAGCCUCCGGCUGGGCAGCCGCGCCGUCAUGUACACGGCGGAGACCCUGCCCAAGGGCAAGAACCGCGUCAUGGGGACCAUCCAGAUUAUGACGGGAUUCCUGCACAUCGGCUUCGGGAUCGUCCUGACCACGCUCACCAAUGUCUACACCUCCGUCUUUGUCAUCGGAGAGAUCCCUUUCCUGGGCGGUGUGUCGUUCAUCAUCUCCGGGUGCCUCUCCAUCGGCGCCGAGAAGAGCCCCACGGAAUGCGCGGUGAAGGGCAGCCAGACCAUGAACGUCAUCAGUGCCAUCUUCGCUCUCCUGGGAAUCGUGGCCUUCAUUGUGGACCUCAACCUCAACGGGCUCUACCGCUCCAGCUUCAACUACUACAGCUAUCUUGUCCUGGGAAUGGGAUUUCCAUUGUGCUGCUCAUCUUCACCAUCCUGGAAUUCUGCAUUGCCGUGGCCACCGCCAACUUCUGGUGCCGGGCCACCCGCCUCAGCUCCAACGAGGCCAUGCUGAUCGUCCCCAGUGCCACCCGUGUGGAUCUGGCCGUGCCACCAGCAGAGCUGCCUCAGCCUCCCAGCUACAGCGAGCUGGCUGCUCCUGAAGUCUGACAUGUAGGAUGUUGGAAUGGGAUCCUGCCUCCAUCGCUCCUAAAUCCCAGGGCUACGGCAUCCUCCUCCCACUGUGCUGCUGGCUGGGAUGUGCUGGUCCCCCCCAAAAGCCAGGGACACCCCCAAAUUCCCUGCCCCUCUGCCCCUGGGCCUGAUCUGAGGGGCUCCACUUGCUGGCUGCUGUGGGAAGGGGCUUCUCCAGGGGGGAAAUCUUGGACAAUUCCUGCCUGUAAAUUCCUGGUGGGAUGCUGGGGUUCGCUCAUGUUGGGGUUCAGGAAUUCCUGGUGGUUUGGAGUGACCCUGAUGUGUGCCGGGAGCUGGGCGGGUCACCGGAGCAUCUACCUCGGCUCGUCCCCUGUUGGCUUCAUUUUCUCUUGGGAAUAAAUGCUCUCUCUGGGCUUGUGUCUCCUGAA